rnacentral:misc_RNA from 1 species
AAGUCGUAACAAGGUUUCCGUAGGUGAACCUGCGGAAGGAUCAUUAGAGAAUUUAAUGGGAGUCCCUCUUAACCGGAGAAGGCCCAAUUCUACUAUUUUUCAAACCCUAGUGCAUUUGUCCCCUUUUUAAUUACCCUUUUAACCCUUUUGCAUUUGAAAAGGUUGUUUGUGUUUAACACAUUUUGAUAAAUGAAAGAAAAACUUUCAGCAAUGGAUCUCUUGGCUCUCG